ACUGCCGGUGACAAACCGGAGGAAGGUGGGGAUGACGUCAAAUCAUCAUGCCCCUUAUGAUUUGGGCUACACACGUGCUACAAUGGACAAUACAAAGGGCAGCGAAACCGCGAGGUCAAGCAAAUCCCAUAAAGUUGUUCUCAGUUCGGAUUGUAGUCUGCAACUCGACUACAUGAAGCUGGAAUCGCUAGUAAUCGUAGAUCAGCAUGCUACGGUGAAUACGUUCCCGGGUCUUGUACACACCGCCCGUCACACCACGAGAGUUUGUAACACCCGAAGCCGGUGGAGUAACCAUUUUGGAGCUAGCCGUCGAAGGUGGGACAAAUGAUUGGGGUGAAGUCGUAACAAGGUAGCCGUAUCGGAAGGUGCGGCUGGAUCACCUCCUUUCUAA
rnacentral:rRNA from 1 species